CUGUUGUGUGCCCUUAAACAGCAAUCGAACUGAGAAGUCCCUUUCGGGGCCGAUUAAAAUGGCCGUACCCGGGUUGAGUUACGCGUAGUUUACCAUUACCUUCAAGGUUGGGGGAAUAACCCACUUCGAAAGAUUGGGAUAAUUCCCGCAUAUGGACCACAGUAUCUGUGGAAUACCAGGGGUUCAAAAGAUUUAUCGCCCUUAAGAUUUGGUCUGCGUCCGAUUAGCUUUUUGUGGGGUAAAAGCCUACCAAGGCUGUGAUCGGUACUGGUCUGAGAGGAUGAUCAGCCCACAUUGGGACUGAGACACGGCCCAAACUCCUACGGGAGGCAGCAGUAGGGAAUCUUGCGCAAUGGGGGAAACCCUGACGCAGCGACACCACAUGAGUGAUGAAGGCUCUAGGGUUGUAAAGCUCUGUUCUUGACGAACAAACAAAUGAUUAGUCAAGGAGAAAGGACCGGCUAACUUCGUGCCAGCAGCUNCGGUAAGACGAGGGGUCCAAGCGUUGUCCGGAAUUAUUGGGCGUAAAGCGGGUGUAGCGGUUUUGCAAGUCAGAAGUGAAAGCCUCAGGCUCAACCUGAGAAGUGCUUUUGAUACUGCAUAACUUGAGUUUGGAAGAGGGCAAUGGAAUUCCUGGUGUAGUGGUGAAAUGCGUAGAUAUCAGGAGGAAUACCAGAGGCGAAGCGGUUGCCUGGUCCAAUACUGACGCUGAGAUCCGAAAGCGUGGGGAGCAAACAGGAUUAGAUACCCUGGUAGUC
rnacentral:rRNA from 1 species